rnacentral:rRNA from 1 species
AGUGAACGCUGGCGGUAGGCCUAACACAUGCAAGUCGAACGGCAGCACAGUAAGAGCUUGCUCUUACGGGUGGCGAGUGGCGGACGGGUGAGGAAUACAUCGGAAUCUACUUUUUCGUGGGGGAUAACGUAGGGAAACUUACGCUAAUACCGCAUACGACCUACGGGUGAAAGCAGGGGAUCUUCGGACCUUACGCGAUUGAAUGAGCCGAUGUCGGAUUAGCUAGUUGGCGGGGUAAAGGCCCACCAAGGCGACGACCCGUAGCUGGUCUGAGAGGAUGAUCAGCCACACUGGAACUGAGACACGGUCCAGACUCCUACGGGAGGCAGCAGUGGGGAAUAUUGGACAAUGGGCGCAAGCCUGAUCCAGCCAUACCGCGUGGGUGAAGAAGGCCUUCGGGUUGUAAAGCCCUUUUGUUGGGAAAGAAAAGCAGCAGGUUAAUACCCCGCUGUUCUGACGGUACCCAAAGAAUAAGCACCGGCUAACUUCGUG